ACUGGUUGACAGGAGGCUGGACGGGGUCAGGUGGGAUGCCGCAGUUUUUCCAAGAAUUGUUUACCUUGUGUCCUAUUACCCUCCCUGCUGGAUUCAGGAUGGAGAAAGUAGUAAUGAACGGGCCUUACACUUGGUCAUCAGCUGGGCGCAGAGAGUUAAAAUGAUUGCAAUACGUUUACUUUAUUUUUUUUUUUUUGAGACGGAGUUUCGCUUUUGUUGCCCAGGCUGUAGUGCAAUGGCGUGAUCUCGGUUCACCGCAACCUCCGCCUCCCGGGUUCAAGCGAUUCUCCUGCCCCAGCCUCCCGAGUAGCCGGGAUUACAGGCGUGGGCUACCACGCCUGGCUAAUUUUGUAUUUUUAGUAGAGACGGGGUUUCUCCAUGUUGGUCAGGCUGGUCUCAAACUCCUGACCUCAGGUGAUCCGCCUGCCUCGGCCUCCCAAAGUGCUGGGAUUAGAGGCGUGAGCCACCGCGCCUGGCCAAUACGUUUACGUUUAGUAGCAUAAGUAAUCCAGCAAUGCAUUAUCAUUAAGAAAUGCAUAAUUAUACACAAAAAUAGCCAACCCAUAUAGCACUUCCUGUUUUGUCAGACAUAGGCCAAGGCUUUGCAGGUAUUAAAUCAUAUAGCAGUUUGGUAAAGAACCUUUUAGAGCCUUCCAAUGCAUAUGCAAACAGUAUGCACGCGCACAUACUUAAUUGGAUUGGAUUUCUUAAAUAUAAUUGAGAUCAUAGGGACAAGACUUUUCUACAACUUUUUUUAAAUUUUUUUUCUAGCAUUUUUUUCCUAAUAUAUCUCAUAUUUAAUGGCUGAAGACUUCCAUGGAAUAAUUUAUGUAUAUUCAUCGUUCCAUUUUAUGUAAACGUUUCCCUAUUGGUGAAUACUUAUGUUGUUCCCACCUUUCCCCUAUUACAAAUAAUGCUGCCAUAACUGUCGAUGUUCCUUGUGUGUAUAUCUUUC
rnacentral:lncRNA from 10 species